rnacentral:rRNA from 1 species
GUGAGUAGUUCAGAGUUUGAUCCUGGCUCAGGAUGAACGCUAGCUACAGGCUUAACACAUGCAAGUCGAGGGGCAGCAUGAACUUAGCUUGCUAAGUUUGAUGGCGACCGGCGCACGGGUGCGUAACGCGUAUCCAACCUUCCCGUUACUCAGGGAUAGCCUUCCGAAAGGGAGAUUAAUACCUGAUGGUGUUCAAAUUCCGCAUGUCAUUUGAACUAAAGAUUCAUCGGUAACGGAUGGGGAUGCGUUCCAUUAGCUUGUUGGCGGGGUAACGGCCCACCAAGGCGACGAUGGAUAGGGGUUCUGAGAGGAAGGUCCCCCACACUGGAACUGAGACACGGUCCAG